GAAUAUGAGGGCAAUCUGGCUAUGAUAACUGUCAUCUCGUUGAUGGCCAGGGUUGGUUCCUCUGAUCGGGCAGGCUGGAUGGAUAUCCUCUUCUUCCCUCACUUCUCCAUACAUUUCCUUUCCCAAACUGUGUAUCCAAAGAAGAUGGCCUUUUCAGGUAUACAAGGCCCAUUGUUGGGCUGAGCUGCUUGGGUAGCUCAGCCCAAGAAUGUGUUCCUCAACCAGAACCUCUGAACAGACUCUUCUACUUAGUACUACCUUUACUCACUCUUGUUUUUUAUUCUGUAAAGGAAUAUUCUAUGCUAUUUCUUGUAUAUAGAAAAUUUCCACAGCAUCAUUUGGUGGCAUGAUAGUG
rnacentral:snRNA from 1 species